AUCCUUGUUUUGUUCGCGAAAAAUGCCUAUCUGCAAAGUGCCUGGGCAACCCGGCUAUGUCGGUAGAGUGUUACGUGGAAUAGGCAUUUCGGACCCGGGGGGCAGUACCCCGGCGCCUCCACCACCAGCAGCGGCGGAAGUAGCCUACCGCUGGAGAUGAUGGGGGCGAAACAGGAUCGACGAGUGCAAUAAAGACGUGGCUGCCGAUCGGUAUGAGACCACCGCGACGGCUCAUUCAUACAAGUGCCAACGAUAAUGAGGCUCUUGCUAUUGCUGCGUAACUGAUGGCCUUACGGUCCUAAGUUACAAAGACAAAAGCGCGGUCGGACCCCGCCGGGCAACAGAAGGGGAAUCCA
rnacentral:tmRNA from 1 species